GUCGGUUGUGCGUCUUCCAUAACACCAACAAGAUGUUAGGUUGUGGGGACCGUAAAACUCGUAACAUGUUAUCGUUUUGUGCAACAGUUUCCAAAUGGGGGAAAGCCGCACAUAAAAUGAUGAAAAAGCACAUAGACGGAAGUAUAUCCUGCGAUUUAGUUUUGAUGAACUGCAUCAGAAUUCGGAGAUGAAUUCAAAUGAACGAAUUAAGGGACACGGCCACGAAAAGAAGGCAAGAACCGGAUUUUCCGUACUUAAUGGGCAAGUAAAAUAUGAAUGCGAGCAUUUUAUAGACGGUAAAUUAUAUUUCAUUACUGACACUGGAAUUUGACAAAAUUAUUAUUAUCUAUUUCCUACUAAUUCCGUCCUAAUAAUCUACUCGGAAAUUGUUUGUAAACGCAUAAGUUUGGGUCUCAAAAAACAGAAAAGAACGGACAUUAUUUUGAAUCCUCGAAUAUUUAUAUUCUUUAAAAAAAAAUGAUGUACAUUUUGAUAGUUAUUGAACUAGGUUGAUAUAGUUAUUGCAGACGUAAAUUAUUUCUUAUAUUUUAUUUAUAUUAACUUUUUAAGAUAUUUUACGGUAUGUAGUUGUGAAUAUUAGCAAGCCACAAAAUAGAGAACCAAAGAAUCUUAAUAUCCAUAUUUGUUUCCUCUGUACCAAUCUUGAUACAAAAAAUAAUUUCAAUCAUUUGGUGUACGAUCUUUGAGAAAUAUGAAAGUAGAGUAGACAGUGGAGCACAAAACUAAUCCGAUAUCUCUAUAUUUUACUUUUGGUGAACCUUUUUAUACAAGUAUUCUUUCACGUUCCUAUUUUGUUUCUAAUAGUUCCUGGAAUUUUUCAAAGGUUAAAGCAUAUGGUAGAACACCAUACUAGCCUCUCGAACCUGAGAAACAAAAGCAUUGUUACACUCUUUACUAAUAAUAUUGAUCUCCAAAAUAAUCGAAUUAGUGGAUGCAACAGGAUUACUAAUAGAGUUUCAACAACUUUCCACUUUGAUACUGGACUUAAUCUCGUAUGAGAACAAUAGAUGAAAAUUUUAAAUUUAUUAGUUAUUGAGCACUAAUUCAUUCGAAUCCAUAGUGACAAAACAAAUAUGAAAUUUCAGAGCUUAAUAUCUAUACUUACCAACUUUCUUAAAAACUCAAGUUUCUUGUUAACAAAAUCUUGCUUCAGAAACGAUAUCAAAGCUGCAGUAGCACUAAACAACAAUGUUCUUGUAAUCAGUUGGACUGUAGCGUGAACGCAUUUGAUAGUUCACAGGAAAAAUCCAAUAAUUAACAAGAUUCGACUGAAUUAGUGCGCCUUUGCUUAUUAGAGAUUUCCAAAAAAUAUUUGUUCAAUAAUUACAUACUAUUCACUUUAUCCUAUUCGUAUCAAUUUUCAGUAAUGGUAGAAACCAAAUCCAAAUAAAACCUGAACGAUGAAACUUUUCUUUUUUGAAUAUUAUCAUAGUCAAGGGCAAAAUAUCAGUAAAACGUCAAACAGUGUGUCAAAUUUGUUAAUUUUCAACCCUACGAACGAAUUCAUCCAAAGCCAUUGAAAUGAUUUUUGUAUGAUUACUCGGAAUAUUCUCCUGUUUAAAAUGUUUUGGCAGGAAUUAUACCAAUACCUAGGAUCAUUAACGGUCGUCAACAUUCAUGGUAUGUGUGGAUUCAAUUUAGAGAGAAUUUUUAGAAUGUGCCUUCACCGUAUAGAAGUUCAUCCUAAACCCAUGAUAGGCACAUUGAAUGAUAUUAAUAGUUCAUAUACAAUUGAACAAGGUUAAUCCUGGAUAGCUGAUUGUUUUCAACUAGUACUGAAAUCAAUUUCCGAUAAUUUAAUCCAACAUUCAUUUGUAUUAUUAUCAAUGCAAGCGCGUGGUAUAAUAAAAGAAUGAAAGAGGGAUUUGAUAAUACGUAUUCAUUGGAAAGGAACUCUUAUGUGGAUUGUUUAUAAAUUUAGUAGAAUUUUGGUCACAUUUGGUAUUUUCGUACUAAAGGUCUCUAAUGUAAUGCAGAGUCCGUUUAAAAAAAGAUACCAAAGUAUAAUAUAGAGUAUAAUAAUUAUGUUCAAAGUAAAGGACGUAUUGAGUAGAAUGUUUCUAAGACACAGAGUAGAUGUUCAUAUGUCACAAUAGCUACAUUUCUGCGCUGCUCGGUAAUCCAAAAUAUGCGUUGGAAAGUAAAUGGUGAGUUCGGUUCAAAAAUAAUCAAACUACAGUCAAAGAUUAAGAGCCUUGUGACCAAACAAUUUGACUACCAACUGAUCUUGAGAGUUAUGGGUAGUUCUCAGAAUAUUUGACGGACUUUUUUAUAUGAAAUUGUCAUAGAAUUGAGGGCGAAUUGAGACAGUAUAGUCGCUAAAUAGCCCCCGUAUGUAUGAGUGUACCUAUCUGGGUACCAAUGAUUAAACAUUGGGUAUAUAUAACAGCCUUUGUAUGGAAAAUGUACAUUCAUGUUUUGUAAUAUUCGCAACUGCUUUGUUUCACCGCACGUGAGGUUUGUUAUAUUGAUUAUAAUGUUAUUUUAUUUGCUUCAACCUAAUUAAUUGUACGGGGUAUUACCCAAGCAGAAAAUACAAAGAUGAAAGAAUGAGGGACGAAAUUAUUGUACUCGCAGCAGCCAAAUCUAAGGCGAUUUUCGUAUAUACUGUCAUUUGAGAUUUGAGGUUUUCGCUAAGGCAAUUUGAUUGUUCCAAUCCUAUUCGAAUAUACAAGUCUCGUAUAAAAAGGGUUCCACAUUAAUUAUCUAAAGAUAUUAUGGAAUUUUUGGAUGGGUUCGGAGGACUAGUUUGUAGUAAACGUCAUAUAUAACUCAGUUUAUUUAUUCAUGAUUCAUUUGGACGAAAGAUUUGUAAUAAUUAUGACGAAUCUU